rnacentral:lncRNA from 1 species
UAAUAAUAAUAAAAAAAGAACAUUUUAAAAGAAUUUUGGGCUAAAUACCAAAUUCUCAAAUCUACAAGGUAAACUCCCUCUUCUAGAGCUUUUGGGUGCAUUUACACAGUCUCAUUAAAACAAAUGCUGUCUGCGUGUGCAGCUGUAAGAUCUUCCAUUAGCCAGAUUUGAUGUUCUGAGGAGGAGCUGCAAAGAUUAAUUUCUUUUCAUCUCUUUCUUCUCACAAACAGAUCCGCUUUUUAUUAUUUACCCAUCACAGUCUUGACGUUAUUUGAUAAUGCAGCUGCUGAUGUUUGCUCCAUGAAACCAAUUGUCUUGUGAAGGUCUGCUCUGGCCAACACAGCAAGAAAGGAAAUUUCCUGUGGAGUGGCUUUUAUUGUGAAGCAUGGCAGGAAUGACUUCUCUGACCCAACAUGUGAAGUGGCCUCCCAAACAAAUACAAUUUUGAUAAUUUGCUUAUUUAUAGCAUGCUGCACUUUCUAGUCUUACUCAUGAUCAGGGUGCCAAUUUGCAAACACACAAAGACUUUUUGUUGAAGUGGGUAGAGCAGGCAAAGAGAUAAGUAAGGAAACAGGAAAAUAAAAUGUCUUUUUUUUUCUCCA